rnacentral:lncRNA from 1 species
GUCAGAGCAAUGGCCUGGCUGGCCCGGCGGCCAUCUGAGCAGACCCAGGGCUGUGAGAUUACAUUAGGUGUCGUCUAUGUCAAGCCUUUAGCCCUUGGCAUCCUGGGCUACUGUGUGGGCAGAACAUGGGUGCCGGUGACGGCAGUGGUGGCGGUGGAGAGGCGGAGAGGAGGGAAAGGGUCCCUUCCUGACCAGCUGCUGUCUCCAUAUCUCAGAGAAAUGGGGAAACUGAAUCAUGGGGGUGACUCAUCUGAGGUCACCAGCUAUAAAUAGUCCAAAGACUCAUGACAGACUGCAAGCAGGUCCUAGAGUCCUUCCGUCCACAGCCCCUAUCUGUGUCUACCUCGCCCACAUACACCCUUUCCUAGACUUCUGUCUUGGGCCCCAUUCUCACGGGACAUUGCUCACCGCGGCCGACUGAUUGAACGCCUCUGUUGUCUUUUUUUGCGGGGUGGGGGGGGAGAUGGAGUUUCACUCUUGUUGCCCAGGCUGGAGUGCAAUGGUGCAAUCUUGGCUCACUGUAACCUCCGCCUCCCGGAUUCAAGCAAUUCUCCUGCCUCAGCCUCCCAAGUAGCUGGAAUUACAGGCAUGCGCCACUACGCCCGGCUAAUUUUUUGUAUUUAGUAGAGAUGGGGUUUCACCAUGUUGGUCAGGCUGGUCUCAAACUCGUGAUCUCAGGUGAUCCACCCGCCUCGGCCUCCCAAAGUGCUGGGAUUACAGGCGUGAGUCACCACGUCCAGCUGCCUCUGUUGUCUUAGAUGCCAACAGCUAAAGUUAUUUCAUAUCCCAGGGGCAUUUCAUUUCAACAGGUACAUUCUAAACCCCCAAAUAUUCACAGAUAUUCACCUCUAAUUGCUUGUCAGUCACAAUGACAGGACCAAAGCAUCCCUUGAUUUUCCCAGGUUCCUCCCAACACUGGAACCAACGUCUGGGGUCAGCUCUCCGAAUUCUCACAGUCUCAGAUGUUUGGCUCACACUCUGGAGUAGACGGGCAGAUGCAAGCACAUGGCUUGGCUGGGGAGUUCAGUGUAGCUGUGUUGCAGCUUCUCAGGCCUCCGUUCUCCCGCUUGCCAGCCUGCUUGAUAGGGGUAAGGUCCCUCAGAGGGGACAUGAGGCCCCUUUGAUCCCAGAAUAACAAGAGAAAGUCUGGGGGGAGAGGAGGAGGUACUGAGAUUCUUGGUACCUAUACUUUAUGAAAUGAAGAAACAUCUAAACAGGGUUGCAGAACUUGUGGUCUAUUUGAUCCUCGUUAGUAUAGUGGUGAUCAUCAAAAAAAAAAAAAAAAGAGCUUGUGAUCUAUUUGAAAUAGCUACAUGGCAAAGUUAACGCUUUUAAUCCCAAAGCAUAAUGCAAUCUAAUGAUGCUAACCCACAAAAGCAAUUUCAGGAUGUAUUUGCAAACAUUACUUUAUCCUGAACUCUUAGGCAAAGUCAUGCAGCAGUGAGAUGAAUGGGAGUUUCAUGUUGAACAGUGCAUAUUGUUUUCCGUUCUGUCGGGGCGUCUCUGUGUCUGAUGCAGCAUUGCUUUUCAGGGAGAUGAAGUCCCUGAAAAUGAGACCCAGGUCCCGAGGUGAAGCUCCUUCUCUGGGGUGCUCCGCAGGGAUUCCUAGACGGCUGUCCCCCGCUGCUGAGCCACGCUGAGCUGGCUGCUCUCACUGGAAUCCUGGAACUGGCUCUUCUCUCACAUGGGCACUCCAAGGGCCACCAGCAUCUCCUCCUACACAGGUGCAAUUUUUUUCUUCUUUUUUCUUUUUCCGUUCCAGGACACUUGUCACCGCCCUGCCCUGUCCUUUCUCCUCUCUUCCUCCCUCUUAGGAGAGUUGCCAGAGUUGCCAGUUUCUUCUUCUUCUUCUUCUUUUUUUUUUUUUUUUUUUUUUUGAGAUGGAGUCUCACUGUCACCCAGGCUGGAGGGCAGUGGUGCAAUCUCGGCUGACUGCAACCUCCGCCCCCCAGGUUCAAGCAAUUCUCCCUCCUCAACCUCCUGAGUAGCUGGGAUUUCAGGCAUGCACCACCAUGCCCGGCUAAUUUUUGUAUUUUUAGUAGAGAUGGGGUUUCACCAUGUUGGCCAGGUUGGUCUCGAAUGCCUGAUCUCAGGUGAUCCGCCCGCCUCGGCCUCCCAAAGUGCUGGGAUUACAGGUGUGAGCCACUGCGCCCCGCCACCAGUUUCUUCUUUUGGUGCUCAA